rnacentral:rRNA from 1 species
CAAAGGUGAGCCAGUACAGGAUGGACCCGCGUCUGAUUAGCUAGUUGGUAAGGUAACGGCUUACCAAGGCGACGAUCAGUAGCCGACCUGAGAGGGUGAUCGGCCACAUUGGAACUGAGACACAGUCCAAACUCCUACGGGAGGCAGCAGUGGGGAAUAUUGCACAAUGGGCGAAAGCCUGAUGCAGCAACGCCGCGUGAGUGAUGAAGGCCUUCGGGUCGUAAAACUCUGUCCUCAAGGAAGAUAAUGACGGUACUUGAGGAGGAAGCCCCGGCUAACUACGUGCCAGCAGCCGCGGUAAUACGUAGGGGGCUAGCGUUAUCCGGAUUUACUGGGCGUAAAGGGUGCGUAGGCGGUCUUUCAAGUCAGGAGUGAAAGGCUACGGCUCAACCGUAGUAAGCUCUUGAAACUGGGAGACUUGAGUGCAGGAGAGGAGAGUGGAAUUCCUAGUGUAGCGGUGAAAUGCGUAGAUAUUAGGAGGAACACCAGUUGCGAAGGCGGCUCUCUGGACUGUAACUGACGCUGAGGCACGAAAGCGUGGGGAGCAAACAGGAUUAGAUACCCUGGUAGUCCACGCUGUAAACGAUGAGUACUAGGUGUCGGGGGUUACCCCCUUCGGUGCCGC